rnacentral:lncRNA from 1 species
GAUCCAUCUGUCACAGAAGUGCCCGGCUAUGCCAAAAGCAUUAAAAGUCUAGUCUGACACACGUAAGCAGUGGAAAGUCUUGGCUGAAAUUGGGAACCAGAAGAUGGCAGGCAGCCCUAUGCCCUUCUCCUUUUAAAAUGAAAACGUCGAUACAGGGAAGUAGAGGCACCUUGGAAUUGCCAAUACCUCUCAAGGGGUUCUUGUUUAGUGGAGAAUAUGAAACUGGAGUGAAACGAGUCCUAACUAGUUGACACCACUGAAUUACUGCCACAGGAUAAAGGGACCUUGGGAUUGAGCCCUUUUCAUUUGCUGAAUACCAGAAAUCAGUUAUAGCUUACCAGCUGUUUGAAUGGCUUCCUGGAGUUUUCAGUUGGUGGUUUUAUGUUUUUGUUUUAAGAUCUUAGCAAAGCAAUGUCUCAAGAUGGUGCUUCUCAGUUCCAAGAAGUCAUUCGGCAAGAGCUAGAAUUAUCUGUGAAGAAGGAACUAGAAAAAAUACUCACCACAGCAUCAUCACAUGAAUUUGAGCACACCAAAAAAGACCUGGAUGGAUUUCGGAAGCUAUUUCAUAGAUUUUUGCAAGAAAAGGGGCCUUCUGUGGAUUGGGGAAAAAUCCAGAGACCCCCUGAAGAUUCGGUAAGUUUUAGAUAAAAUGUAGGAAAAUGUAGGGU